rnacentral:rRNA from 1 species
UAGGGAAUAUUGGGCAAUGGGCGAAACUCUGACCCAGCGACGCCGCGUGCGGGAUGAAGGCCUUCGGGUUGUAAACCGCUUUCAGUAGGGAAGAAGCGAAAGUGACGGUACCUACAAAAGAAGCACCGGCUAACUAUGUG